rnacentral:lncRNA from 1 species
GCGGACGUGGAAGAACCUCGUCUGCGGAGGAAAAGGUGCCGAGUCAAUCCCCAUACACAGCCGCCGCCAUUGCCUCGAGUCCUUGUGUCUGACUGUCUGUUCCUGCUGCUGUAUGACACAGCACCUCGAGGCAAGGAAAUAAGAAAACUGCCUCUGAUCCAAGCAGAGAAGGUCAGUGAGAAGGUAGAUCUGUCCCCAGGUCUGUGGAACUGUCAGUUGUGAAGUUUUGUAAAAUGGUCACCCAACUUAAAACUAGGAAAUUACGAAGAAGAGAAAAUUGCCCUGUAUCUGUUAAGGUCUGCCUGUAGAUCUGCUGUAGGGCUUGUCACCAUUGGAAGCAAGAACUCCUGUAGCCUGUAAUACCAGCUGUGGGUACUACUCUCAGUGUUGGAGAUCAUCAAAAUACAAUUGGACCAGACCCUUUGGAAAUAAUUCUGUGUCUCAAAUGCCCUGUGGAGCACACACUUAAUCAGUUGAUGGCUAUGGAAUUUUCCAACAUCAGCUAAAGAGAAGGGAUAGAGUGGUGACUUCCAAGCUUCAUGCAGAACCGGACAACAGAAAUUGAGAGGGAAAUUUCUAUGACAGAAGAGAGAAAGAAGAAAAUUGCUGGAAUAAUGACCUUGAAUAGAGGAAAUGGGAUAUCAUCUGUGUCCUUAUAAAAAGGGGAAAUUUGGACACAGAGGCAAGCACACAGGGAGAGUGCCAAGUGAAGAUGAAGAAAAAGAUCAGAGUGAUACAAAGAAGUCAAAGAACACCAAAGAUUGCCAACAAACCACCAGAAGCUAGGAGAAAGGCCUGAAACAUAUCCUUCCCGCAUGCCUUCAGAGGGAGCGUGGGCCUGCAGACACUUUGAUCUCAGACUUCUACCCUAUGGAACUGUGCAAAAAUAAAUGUCUGUUGUUUAAGCCAUUCAGUUUGUGUUACAGCACAAAUGUAUUCUAUUUAGAAUACAUCAUUCUAAAUAGAAAUUUUUUAAUAAUUAAGUAUUUUCCUCUCCUUGGAGCACUUGGUAACUUCUAAUUCUACUUUCUAUCUCUAUUAAUUUGCCUAUUCUAGAUAUAUCAAAUGAGUGAAAUAAUACAAUAGUUGUCUUUUUGUGUCUGGCUUCUUUUACUUUGCAUAAUGUUUUCAAGGUUCAUUCAUGUUGUAGCAUGUAUCUGAACUUCAUUCUUUUUCUGGCUGAAAAUUUUAUUAUAUGUAUGUAUUACAUUUUGUGUCUCUAUUCAUCACUUGAUGGAUAUUUGGAUAGAUUUAAGUCAUUUGUCUUUUGUGAAUAGUGCUAUUAAUAUUAUGAACACUUGAGUACAAGUUUUUGUUUAAAUACCUCUUUUCUUUUUUCUUGGAUGUAUUAUCUAGGUGAAGAAUGGCAAGAUCAUAUGGUAAUUCUAUUUAGCUUUUUGAGGAACUGCCAAACCUUUCCACAAUGACUGCACAAUUAUACAUUUCCAGUAGGGUUCCAGUUUAUCCAUAUUCUCACCAAUGCUUUUAUUUUUCUGUUUUUUAAAAUUAUACUGAUCAUAGGAGGUGUAAAGCAGUAUUUCAGUUUGGUUUUGAUUUGCAUUUCCCUAAUGAUUAAUGAUGUUGAGAAUCCUUUCACAUGCUUAUUGACCAUUUUUAUGUCAUUUUGGGAAAAUAUUUAUUCACAUUUUUGCCCAUUUUUUAGUUGGGUUGUCUUUUUUUGCUGUUGAGUUGUAGGAGUUCUUUAUAUUUUCUGGAUAUUAAACCCUCAUCAGAUAAAUUAUUUGCAAAUGUUUUCUUCCAUUCUGUUAAUUUUCUUAAUGUUGUCUUUUGAUGCACAUUGUAAAAAUUUUUAAAA